GCACCAUACGCAAGCGACACGGUACGCUUAAUCUGCCUUGCCAACGAAACAAGCUAUGAACGGCAUAUUUGGCGCUGUGACGUUGAGUGUCCUCUUCGUGGCGCUGCUCUUGUUAUCAGACCAUUUUACCAAGUGUGAGCCCGCCCGUCAACAGAAGCCCACAACCAUGAAAUCAGUCUGUCCAAAGACGAAGUGCGUAGUCGGAGGGUCUGGCUGUGGUUCCGAAUGCUACUGCAAGACACCAAGUGUGAGCAAUCGGCGUUACGGAAAAAACGAAGGUUCCUGCUGGAAAAAGGUCUCAACCCGUCGAACUCCAACUGAUUUCAAUCUAGCAGACGCAUUGUGAUCGACGUUCGAAUGGAAAUUUGAAAUAAAAUUUGCAUA